rnacentral:rRNA from 1 species
AGCUAAUAGAUACCCAGGUAGUCCACGCCCUAAACGAUGUCUACUAGUUGUUGGUGGAGUAAAAUCCAUGAGUAAACGCAGCUAACGCGUGAAGUAGACCGCCUGGGGAGUACGGUCGCAAGAUUAAAACUCAAAGGAAUUGACGGGGGCCCGGCACAAGCGGUGGAUUAUGUGGAUUAAUUCGAUGCAACGCGAAAACCUUAACCUGGCCUUGACAUGCCACUAACGAAGCAGAGAUGCAUUAGGUGCCCGUAACGGGAAAGGUGGACACAGGUGCUGCACGGCUGUCGUCAGCUCGUGUCGUGAGAUGUUGGGUUAAGUCCCGCAACGAGCGCAACCCUUGCCAUUAAAUUGCCAUCAUUUAGUUGGGCACUUUAAUGGGACUGCCGGUGACAAACCGGAGGAAGGUGGGGAUGACGUCAAGUCCUCAUGGCCCUUAUGGCCAGGGGCUUCACACGUAAUACAAUGGUCGGUACAGAGAGUUGCCAACCCGCGAGGGGUAGCUAAUCUCAGAAAGCCGAUCGUAGUCCGGACUGUUCUCUGC